AAUUGUGUUUUUCUUUCCAAACAAAAAUGUUCUGUGUCAGAUGAUACAAUACUUUUACAUGUAUUAAUCACUACAGUAUUUUAAACUAAGAGCCUGACAGAGUUGAUUGAUUUAUGGAGUACAGACAACAUCAAACACGUUUUGAUGAACGAUGUAAUAACAGCUGAACGGUAUUCAUAUAGACAAAUGGGGACACAGGAGCCCCCCUCCAUGGAUCUUCCCUCCUACAACAGCCAUAAUGAGAGGGACAAGUCAACCAAUGAGAAGUUCCUUCCCAGAGCAGAGGUGGUCAGGUCCAAACUCAUCCAGAGCUUCUAUCUGCUGGACCAGUUACAGGAGGAGCAGAGAGGAAGCCCCAAAUACUGCACCAAUGAUGUUUUAGACGAGGAGAACUACACCAGUCUGAUGGGGAAGGACACACACCAGCUGGUGCGUUUCGAGAUCUCCCCCCAGAGGGGCAGCACCAUCACCAUGGACCGCCGUCGCCAGGGACGACUGGAGAACCUCCAUGCCAACUAUCCGCCCUUGAACAUGUUUGCCCACUGGAUUCUAGAGAGUAAAAUAUUUAUGAAUAUCAUUGUCAUCCUCAUCAUUCUGAACACCAUUGUAUUGGAGAUACAAGCAGAGGUGUUUGACAACAUGGACCCCAAGCUGGAGAUUGUGAAACUGGUUCUGGAAAUGUUGGACUGGAGCAUCCUGGCCAUCUUCUUCCUGGAGAUCCUAUUGAAGUGGUUGGACAACUUCUGGAACUUCUGGAAAAGCACCUGGAAUAUCUUUGAUUUUGCUGUUACCAUGCUGUCUGUUAUACCAGAGAUCGUGAAGGUCUUCAAAGGGGUGGACACUGACGACUUGGAGAUUGUGGCACUCCUAAAGAAGUUCCGUAUCCUCCGCUCCCUGAAAAUUAUCUCUAAAUUCAGGCAGAUCCGCCUUAUCGUGUUGGCCAUCUCCAAAGCUUUCAAGGCUAUGACCUUCAUCUUCUUACUGCUGCUGGUGUUUGCUUAUAUCUUCGCUGUGGUUGGAGUCAUCCUGUUCGAGAGUUACACUCGCUCCAACGUCGAGGGCCUGGUCUACAAUAUGAACUUUAAAGAUAUCUACAACUCCUUCAUCACCCUCUUCAUCCUCUUCACCAUGGAUCACUGGUACGCUCUGCUCGCAGACACCCGCAAAGUUCCAGAACUGGACAAAGCCAUAUGUGGCCUAUACAUCAUCCUCUGGCUCCUCAUAGGCUCCUUCGUAUUCCGCAAUAUCUUCGUGGGUAUUAUGGUGAAUAACUUCCAGGCCAUCCGGAGUGACCUCUCUAAAGAGGUACAGCAGAUUGAGAUCCAGGCCAAAGCUGAUCUCUUUAAAGCUGAGAUCAUAAAGAGGAGGAUAAGUCAUUCGAAAUUUGCCGGACUGGGAGUCGUACGUGGAGGAGAACAUGAAGGUGAUGCAGGAGCAGGAGGAGGACGAGAAGGUCACCUGGCCCCGGGAUUCCCUUUUCAGGUACUUUGAGCUGCUGGAGUUGCUCCAGCACAACCUGGACGAGAGGAAGAGGCUGCAGAACGUAGCAGUUCAGGCGUUGCUAAACCUGCACGACUCAUAGGACCCCACAUCGACAUCUAUUCAGAAGAGCCACCAUAUUUUGGAAGAAAAUAAAACAUGUUUUUUUCUUCCCAGUAUUGUCAGUGUCCAUGUUCAAUUAGUCAUCUAGUUUACCCUUGAGAACUAAAGCUGAUGUGGAGGGCAGAGAGAGCCAACGAUAGCCUGGUUAAACCAUACUGAAUGCUGUGCGCACCGUUGUUUUACUUCACCUCAGUUUGGAUGCCAGGCUAAGGCAAUGAGGUCAAAUAUAUUUAUUCCUAGUAGUAGUCAACUUGAAUGGUCUCACAGUUCCACCCAAUAUGUAAUAGGGGGCACUCUUACACAGUGUCACUGAGCCCCCUGGGAGGUCAUACACCGUGUCCACCACAGUUCUCCUUAAGAUUAUU